rnacentral:rRNA from 1 species
GUCCACCCGUAACGUUGGGAACUAGUUGUGGGACCAUUCCACGGUCUCCGUGACGCAGCUAACGCAUUAAGUUCCCGCCUGGGGAGUACGGCCGCAAGGCUAAACUCAAAGGAAUUGACGGGCCCGCACAAGCGGUGGAGCAUGUGGUUUAAUUCGAUGCAACGCGAAGAACCUUACCUGGCCUUGACAUGUCUGGAAUCCUGCAGAGAUGCGGGAGUGCCUUCGGGAAUCAGAACACAGGUGCUGCAUGGCUGUCGU